AGGUCGGUAAAACAAAUAAGUGAGUAGAUGUGGUCGAACGAUGAUCCCAGCUUGCUGGGGGAUUAGUGGCGAACGGGUGAGUAACACGUGAGUAACCUGCCCUUGACUCUGGGAUAAGCCUGGGAAACUGGGUCUAAUACCGGAUACGACCAUCUGGCGCAUGUCAUGGUGGUGGAAAGCUUUUGUGGUUUUGGAUGGACUCGCGGCCUAUCAGCUUGUUGGUGGGGUAAUGGCCUACCAAGGCGACGACGGGUAGCCGGCCUGAGAGGGUGACCGGCCACACUGGGACUGAGACACGGCCCAGACUCCUACGGGAGGCAGCAGUGGGGAAUAUUGCACAAUGGGCGCAAGCCUGAUGCAGCGACGCCGCGUGAGGGAUGACGGCCUUCGGGUUGUAAACCUCUUUCAGUAGGGAAGAAGCCGUAAGGUGACGGUACCUGCAGAAGAAGCGCCGGCUAACUACGUGCCAGCAGCCGCGGUAAUACGUAGGGCGCAAGCGUUAUCCGGAAUUAUUGGGCGUAAAGAGCUCGUAGGCGGUUUGUCGCGUCUGCUGUGAAAGACCGGGGCUCAACUCCGGUUCUGCAGUGGGUACGGGCAGACUAGAGUGCAGUAGGGGAGACUGGAAUUCCUGGUGUAGCGGUGAAAUGCGCAGAUAUCAGAGGAACACCGAUGGCGAAAGCAGGUCUCUGGGGCUGUAACUGACGCUGAGGAGCGAAAG
rnacentral:rRNA from 1 species